AGAGGAUUGGUAAACGUGUGGUGCUGAUGGAUAGCUAAUGAGACGCGAUGAGGACCGCCCUCCCCAGCCUACAUCCGUUGCUGCCAUAUCUCACCGCAAGACUCCAUUAGCGGCCGCCUAAUUGGCCUCGCGGAUAAUCAAGUGGCCCACCGUCUCUACUUACGUACGUGUCCGUUUGGUUUUACAUAUGGAGGCUGACUUGAACGACGAGGUAAGGACGCGGGCUUGUGCGCAUGCGCAGAAUAUAUUAAAGAUGGACGAAUUCCAGUCAUCUCGUACAUUACAGAAGAGACAGGAGAGGAAGCGUGGCGAGGACUCGAUGGCGACGCUCAGCGCCGACGGAAGCCUCUAGGUAAAAGCAGCCGCACUCCUGAGGAAGAUAAAUCCUUGUGAAAGCACGUCUUCGAUAUUUGAUCGUCCUUGAGUCGUGGGAGAUAAUCCUCCGGUUGAAGAGAUUCCAAAGGCACGUUUAAAUAGGCUCGAUGGAUACUACAACUCACUGGUGGAGUUGCUACGGGUUAAUCUGACUGAUAAAAUAUAUAUAUGAGAUAUCGCCGUAUUAGAUUAUUCUUGUCUUUUUCAUCCCCUGGGUGGGUAUGCAUUAAUAAUAAAUUUAGCCUGCGGGUUAAGUUAUUAAACGGGCGAUGAUUAACGAGCUAUGGCUAUCUGAUAGGACGACACUUAGUAUUUCGGAAUCAGUUAGCUCAGUACCUCAAACCCAUUCAUUCCCUUUUGGCUCCCCUCGUGGCGAUGGUGAUUAUGAUUUAUGGUCGGUGGGCGCACCUCAAACAAAGUACAUCAAUUAUGUGUCUGGUGUGUCGCGUUGUUACUACCCUGACAACAAAGGGUGGCGACGACCCUGUCUCAGUGCUGUGUAUCGAGAAUAUUCUAACUAUACUGUACGCCCGGUAAUAAGUGCUACUACUACGGUACAGGGACGUUGAACGUCAAGAAUUGGAUACUACGCUGCUCAAGUUCGCUUUCGAUUAAUUAUACGACUUGUAGGUUAGACACGUGUCAGAAAUAUUUAGAAAAACGUGGGAAAAUGAUCCUUCGUGACGAUAUCAUUUUUUAUCAAGACCCUUGACUUGCCAUCAUGUAAUUAACAAAGGGAUUUAAUUUAAUAGACAAAUUAAUAUUUGCUUUGAGUCAAUGCUAAAGUCCGUGCGUCUACUCACAGUGGCGUCUCUGUGAAGUUAAUCGAACACGAUAGAUAAUCGAUAUAUCGAAUAUAACUUUCGAUACCAGUAAUCUCGACCCAGUCCAGUAAAUUAUAAAUCCCAGGUUCUCUCUGCGACCUUAACCGUAAGCACUUUUGUACAUCGCUGACACCAUGAAUGGUAAAACAAAACUUUUCAUUCGCAGAAGAGAGGAGCACUACUGCUAGCUGGAAGUAUUUACGAGGUUUAACGACUCCCUCGACGUCCAUUAAGAUUACGAAAUGACGGUGUCAUCAUUUUUUUCCCUCUCAGCCUUCCAUCCUCUAUCUAGUUCCUCCCUCUGUGCAAACUUGACGUCGUUUCCAACAUGGCGUUCAUUCAGAUCAGACGAUAAUAUCCAGCAAGAAUUCUUACAGGGGUAAAGUAUGAAUUGACAAAAUAUGUAUAACUCGCAGAAAAAUGUACAGACAUAAUGAUAUGAUUUUGUUAACAUGAAAGUUUAUCAGCGAUAUUAUCUCUAUUAGAUUCUAACCUAUAAAACGAAGACUGAAUGCAAUCCAUUUGUAAUGGCAGCUCGUUACAAUGCGAUCAGGUAGGACUAAUCAAUUUCAUGGAUACCUGGACCUGGGCCAUGGAGCGAUAGUCCAGUCAUCACGCAAAUCUCUUAUAAGGAUCGAAGAGCCAUCAGUACCCUAGAUAUAUAGAUUCAAGAAGAUGGAAAAGACGACAGUCGGUUGAUGUCGUUUCUUCCGGUAUAAAGUGACCUCUAACUUGGUACUAGAGGAUGGUAUGGGUGAGGUAGACCAGCGGGAUAUUGCUGGUCGUUUGUCUUUUCGUUUCCCAAGUCUGGGUGGAUGUUCGCAAUAUCGGCUCUGCUAGUAGCUAGUAUCUCGCUCACACUCUCCUUCCUCCCGGCUCUGAUUGCACUGGGGCUUUCCAGAGUCCGGGCGGACAUACCUCACGCGGAAGUCCAAUUUUAUUUUUCGACCUCUCAACGAGAACGAGAUAAGUAAGUAAGAGCUGUGCGCACUAGGUAUAUACAUAGUAUAGGUGUAGCUGAGAAAUUUCGUGGCAUCCCGUGGCGGCACAUACUGCUAUCUACGGAUAUUGCUGCCGAAGUAGAAUGCCCGAUAAGAAUCUCACUGAGGAUAGAAUAGCCCGGGUAGAGCAUCCUGAUUCCCGAUUGUCCUGAAAGACUUUAAGAUAGCAUAAAGCCUUUUUGGCAUUAAUGUCAAUUCUUAGAAACGAGCUUACAAUGCCCUUGGUGAAAUCCUAUAGGAACUAAAUGACCUAGUAUAUUCACCAAGAGCCCUAAUAGCGUCAGGACACAAUAGCUUUUUCAGCUGUUCUCAUGUAAAUCAUUAUUAU